GUCACAAAUACAACCUACAAAUGCAAAAUAAAGUUUUAGCCCAACACAAAUAAUACAAGGUAAAAGAAUAAUGAGUGUUGGUAAUGUUCAGCAGAGAAAUAUAGAAUGUGAUUUAUUUUUAAGUGAGGUUUUAAAGGAGGUCAUGGUUAAAAGAUAGGGGUUGGGGUGCCUGGGUGGCUCAGGUGGUUGAGCAUCCAACUUCAUCUCAGGUCAUGAUCUCGCAGUUUGUGAGUUUGGGCCCGCCUCAGGCUCACUGCUGUCAGCGCACAAAGUCAGCUCCGGAUCCUCUGUCUCCCUCGUUGUCUGUCCCUCCCCCACUCACACUCUCUCCCAAAAAUAAAAAUUAAAUGUUAAAAAAAAAAUUUUU